UGUUUUUGAUUCAUAAAAAAC
rnacentral:piRNA from 1 species